rnacentral:rRNA from 1 species
GAUGAACGCUGGCGGCGUGCCUAAUACAUGCAAGUCGAGCGAACGGACGAGAAGCUUGCUUCUCUGAUGUUAGCGGCGGACGGGUGAGUAACACGUGGAUAACCUACCUAUAAGACUGGGAUAACUUCGGGAAACCGGAGCUAAUACCGGAUAAUAUUUUGAACCGCAUGGUUCAAAAGUGAAAGACGGUCUUGCUGUCACUUAUAGAUGGAUCCGCGCUGCAUUAGCUAGUGGGUAAGGUAACGGCAUAACAAGGCAACGAUGCAUAGCCGACCUGAGAGUGUGUGCUGCCUUACUUGAACUGAAACACGGUCCAGACUCUAACGGGAGCCAGUAGUAGGGAAUCUUCCGAAAUGGGCGAAAGCCUGAUGGAGCAACGCCGCGUUAGUGAUGAAGAUCUUCGGCUCCUAAAACUCUUUUAUUAGGGAAGAAUAUAUGUGUAAGUAACUGUGCACAUCUUGACGGUACCUAAUCAGAAAGCCACGGCUAACAACGUG